rnacentral:lncRNA from 1 species
UUAACUCAUUGAACUUCAAAUUCUCUUCAAUCUCCCUUAAAGACUAUUUAAAACCUGAUUUACUAGAUUGUUUGGAAUGGCACAUAUCACUUUUGCAGGGCACAGAGCUGUGGAUCCAUUACUUUGUUCAUUCCGCAUCCCCAUGGAUGCUCCCAGGGAUUGUUCAUGUAAUCAGUGCAGCCAUUUUACGCAGGGAGGAUCUUGUGAAUUUCAUUAGAUGUAAGAAUGGAUUCUCUGCAGCCUCCAUUAUAUGAACCCAGAUCUGUGACGUUCACCAUAAUGCUGGGCCCAUGCAGUGCUCAGAGGAGAUGAGUUUUCUGGCUGAGAGGGCUCUAAAACAGUGGGAUUGCGCUCUGGAAGCUCCUCGUGCAUUGUUGCUGCUCGAAAGUGGCUUGAUUCAGAGGCUUGAAGAGACUCAUCUGUACACAAGUGCUCUGGCCUGAUAAUUUUGGUACAGUGUUCUUGGGGAAAAAAAAACAAACAGUAGAAGGUUGAUUUUUAGGUUGUCUGAGUCGUGAUCUCUGGGUCAGAUUACCUGUUACUUGGAAGGAGUGCAGCAGUAUAAAAGGCAAAGGAAGAAACAGUUCUGCAUAGAAGCUGGGCACCGUAUUUUUGUUUUGGCAUUGAAUUUUAUGGCUUUGGCAAUAAAGUAGCAUUUCAUUAUCA